rnacentral:rRNA from 1 species
UACGUAGGGUCCGAGCGUUGUCCGGAAUCACUGGGCGUAAAGGGUGCGUAGGCGGGUCUUUAAGUCAGGGGUGAAAUCCCGGAGCUCAACUCCGGAACUGCAUUCGAUACUGCGAUACUCGAGGACUCGAGAGGAGAUUGGAAUUCACGGUGUAGCAGUGAAAUGCGUAGAUAUCGUGAGGAAGACCAGUGGCGAAGGCGGAUCUCUGGAGAGUUCCUGACGCUGAGGCACGAAGGCCAGGGGAGCAAACGGG